AACGAACGCUGGCGGCAUGCCUAACACAUGCAAGUCGAACGAAGUCUUCGGACUUAGUGGCGCACGGGUGCGUAACGCGUGGGAAUCUGCCCUUGGGUACGGAAUAACUCAGAGAAAUUUGUGCUAAUACCGUAUAAUGUCUUCGGACCAAAGAUUUAUCGCCCAAGGAUGAGCCCGCGUAAGAUCAGCUAGUUGGUGGGGUAAAAGCCUACCAAGGCGACGAUCUUUAGCUGGUCUGAGAGGAUGAUCAGCCACACUGGGACUGAGACACGGCCCAGACUCCUACGGGAGGCAGCAGUGGGGAAUAUUGGACAAUGGGCGAAAGCUUGAUCCAGCAAUGCCGCGUGAGUGAUGAAGGCCUUAGGGUUGUAAAGCUCUUUUACCAGGGAUGAUAAUGACAGUACCUGGAGAAUAAGCUCCGGCUAACUCCGUGCCAGCAGCCGCCGUAAGAC
rnacentral:rRNA from 1 species